rnacentral:rRNA from 1 species
GACGAACGCUGGCGGCGCGCUUAACACAUGCAAGUCGAACGGAAAGGCCCUGCUUUUGUGGGGUGCUCGAGUGGCGAACGGGUGAGUAACACGUGAGUAACCUGCCCUUGACUUUGGGAUAACUUCAGGAAACUGGGGCUAAUACCGGAUAGGAGCUCCUGCUGCAUGGUGGGGGUUGGAAAGUUUCGGCGGUUGGGGAUGGACUCGCGGCUUGUCAGCUUGUUGGUGGGGUAGUGGCUUACCAAGGCUUUGACGGGUAGCCGGCCUGAGAGGGUGACCGGCCACAUUGGGACUGAGAUACGGCCCAGAAUCCUACGGGAGGCAGCAGUGGGGAAUAUUGCACAAUGGGCGGACGCCUGAUGCAGCAACGCCGCGUGCGGGAUGACGGCCUUCGGGUUGUAAACCGCUUUCGCCUGUGACGAAGCGUGAGUGACGGUAAUGGGUAAAGAAGCACCGGCUAACUACGUG